GUGAUUGGCGCAGCCUGGUAGCGCACUUCGUUCGGGACGAAGGGGUCGGAGGUUCG
rnacentral:tRNA from 3 species